CCCAGCUCGUCAUGCUAGAGCACUUUUUCAAUGUGCUCCCCAAUGAGAAGGCGACGACACAUUCGUAUGUCAAUCCAUAUCAACUUUUGAUGCCAUUGACUGCGCCUACCAUGGUGACCAUGGGUAACACGGAAUCAGGGUUCAAUUCCGUGCAGGGACCCUGACAAACGGCUACCACAUGCAAGGAAGGCAGCAGGCGCGCAAAUGACCCACUCCCAACGCGGGAAGGUAGUGACG